GACGAACGCUGGCGGCGUGCCUAAUACAUGCAAGUUGAGCGCUGAAGGUUGGUACUUGUACCGACUGGAUGAGCAGCGGACGGGUGAGUAACGCGUGGGGAAUCUGCCUUUGAGCGGGGGACAACAUUUGGAAACGAAUGCUAAUACCGCAUAAAAACUUUAAACACAAGUUUUAAGUUUGAAAGAUGCAAUUGCAUCACUCAAAGAUGAUCCCGCGUUGUAUUAGCUAGUUGGUGAGGUAAAGGCUCACCAAGGCGAUGAUACAUAGCCGACCUGAGAGGGUGAUCGGCCACAUUGGGACGGAGACACGGCCCAAACUCCUACGGGAGGCAGCAGUAGGGAAUCUUCGGCAAUGGACGAAAGUCUGACCGAGCAACGCCGCGUGAGUGAAGAAGGUUUUCGGAUCGUAAAACUCUGUUGGUAGAGAAGAACGUUGGUGGGAGUGGAAAGCUCAUCAAGUGACGGUAACUACCCAGAAAGGGACGGCUAACUACGUG
rnacentral:rRNA from 1 species